UACGUAGGGGGCAAGCGUUGUCCGGAUUUAUUGGGCGUAAAGAGCGUGUAGGCGGCCGUACAGGUCAGCUGUGAAAACUCGAGGCUCAACCUCGAGACGUCGGUUGAAACCGUACGGCUAGAGUCCGGAAGAGGAGAGUGGAAUUCCCGGUGUAGCGGUGAAAUGCGCAGAUAUCGGGAAGAACACCCGUGGCGAAGGCGGCUCUCUGGGAAGGUACUGACGCUGAGACGCGAAAGCGUGGGGAGAGAACAGG
rnacentral:rRNA from 1 species